UACGUAGGGUGCAAGCGUUGUCCGGAAUUAUUGGGCGUAAAGAGCUCGUAGGCGGUCUGUCGCGUCGGAUGUGAAAAUCCAGGGCUCAACCCUGGACCUGCAUUCGAUACCGGCAGACUAGAGUUCGGCAGGGGAGACUGGAAUUCCUGGUGUAGCGGUGAAAUGCGCAGAUAUCAGGAGGAACACCGGUGGCGAAGGCGGCAUCCUGGACCGAGAUUGACGCUGAGGCGCGAAAGCUAGGGUAGCAAACGGG
rnacentral:rRNA from 1 species